GGCGAAGGGGGCAGUAAGGCGUGGACAACCUGCCCCGGGCUCCAGGAUAGCCCUCCUAACGGAGGGGUAAUACUGGGUACGCUCGCUUGGGGACAUCUCCGAGCGAGGAUAGUUCCGACGGCCCGGGAGGGGUUCACGUGAUAUUAGCUAGUUGGUGGGGUAACGGCCCACCAAGGCCAAGAUGUCUAGCGGGUGUGAGAGCACGACCCGCGCCACUGGCACUGGGACACUGGCCAGACUCCUACGGGAGGCUGCAGUCGAGGAUCUUCGGCAAUGGGCGCAAGCCUGACCGAGCGACGCCGCGUGAGCGAUGAAGGCCUUCGGGUCGUAAAGCUCUGUCGUGGGGGAGAAAAGGGUUAAACCUUGAUCGACCCCAGGAGGAAGCACGGGCUAAGUUCGUGCCAGCAGCCGCGGUAAGACGAACCGUGCGAACGUUAUUCGGAAUCACUGGGCUUAAAGGGCGCGUAGGCGGGCCCGUCAGUCAGGGGUGAAAUCCCACGGCCCAACCGUGGAAGUGCCUCUGAUACUGCGGGCCUCGAGGGGGAUAGGGGCGUGCGGAACUCAGGGUGGAGCGGUGAAAUGCGUAGAUAUCCUGAGGAACACCGGUGGCGAAAGCGGCGCGCUGGAUCCCUUCUGACGCUGAGCGCGAAAGCCAGGGGAGCAAACGGGAUUAGAUACCCCGGUAGUCUGGCCCUAACGUGGGUACUAGUAGCGCCUGUCAUGGGGUCGCUGCCGGAGCAAAGUGUUAAGUACCCCGCCUGGGGAGU
rnacentral:rRNA from 1 species